rnacentral:rRNA from 1 species
AAACUUAAAUGAAUUGACGGGGGCCCGCACAAGUGGUGGAGCAUGUGGUUUAAUUCGACGCAACGCGAAGAACCUUACCAGGGCUUGACAUCCCCUGACCGCGUAUGAAAGUACGUUUUCACCCUCGGGUGACAGGGAGACAGGUGGUGCAUGGUUGUCGUCAGCUCGUGUCGUGAGAUGUUGGGUUAAGUCCCGCAACGAGCGCAACCCCUACGUUUAGUUGCUAACGCGUGAAGGCGAGCACUCUAGACGAACUGCCGUUGACAAAACGGAGGAAGGUGGGGAUGACGUCAAAUCAUCAUGCCCCUUAUGUUCUGGGCUACACACGUGCUACAAUGGCCGGUACAGACGGACGCAAAGCCGCGAGGUGGAGCAAAUCCUAAAAAGCCGGUCUCAGUUCGGAUCGGAGUCUGCAACUCGACUCCGUGAAGCUGGAUUCGCUAGUAAUCGCGCAUCAGCCAUGGCGCGGUGAAUACGUUCCCGGGCCUU